UGUGACUGACGGCAGAGGACAGUCAGGACUCGCUCCGGGGACGUGGUCUGUGCCCACACAGAUAAUUCUGCAUCCACCUACUGCACUGAGUUGCUGAUGGACUUCUUGCCCUCCUUGGAAUUUACUCAGUUGCUACGUGGGUCUGAAUCUGCAAAUAGGAGCCAUUAGCGACCCCUGCUAACCGGAGCUGAGAGACCCUCUAACUGCCUUUAUCUCAGAUCUGCUCACCUAUUACAAAUGUGACCGAGCAGUGGUUCUGAGCACUGACUAUGGGCACAGGUCUGGGAGGAAAUUCCAGAUCUGUCAUUUGCUGUCUAUGUGACAUGGCACAUUUCUUCACUUCUCUGUUAAUUAGCUUCUCUAAAAUACGGAUUAUAAUUGUACCUACCUUGAAGAAUGUCGAAAGAAUUAACGAGAUGAGUUAAUGGACACAGAGAGCAUAGAACUACUACUGCCUGGGCAAAUGAAAAUCUGAGACGUUGACCUUUUGAAGUAAUAGGACAUUACCCAACUGCAAUGGACUGAGUCAGCGCUGAGGGGACCAAGUGGCAAGAAUUUCAUCCAGCAAGUAGUCCACUCAGAUAGACUCCUGCCUCUCAAAUUAUUACGUGAGAAGAACGUGCCACCUCCUGGUCGAAAGCAACCAACCAAGAAGUUGAUUUAAACCUGUCACACUCCUACCAGGAAUCCAGCACUGAGCUUGCGACAGGAUUCAGUUCCUCACGCCUUCAGUGGGACUAAAGGCUUCAGUUCUUCAUCGGCUGUUGGUAAGAGACCACCCUUGUUCCUUGCCAUGAGUCCUCUCCAACACAGCAAUUUGCUUCAUCGAAGUGUGCAAGUAAGAAAAGUCAGAGAAAGAGAGAAAGCAUGAGGAAGAUUAGCCCUGAGCUAACAUCCAUGCACAUCUUCCUCAACUUUAUGUGUUGGACGCCUACCACAGCAUGGCUUGACAAGCGGCGCAUAGGUCCACGCUGGGAUCUAACUGGUGAAUCCUGGGCCACGGAAGCAGAAUACGUGAACUUAACCACCAUGCCACCAGGCCAGCCUGGGAAUCCACAGCUCUUGGUCCAAACCACCAACAUUCCAAGAAGUCAGUCAGGACAAAAAUAUCCUGUUUGUGAGGAAUGAUGAAACUGGACUUUGCUGAUGACCAAAUCUCAAGCCAUUCUAUGAAGUAUAAUCUUAGCCUUACCUCUUCUAACAUCAAUGGACUCUUCUUGAAUACAACUUACCUCAUCUUCCUCCCUUUUUCCCAUAAAAACUCUAAGCCCCUCUCCUAUAAUCAGGUAUAUUUGGAUUUAUAUCUGAAUCUGUUCUCCCUGAAUUGCAAUUCUUUGAUGCCAAAUAAACACUUUGCCUCUUAAA
rnacentral:lncRNA from 1 species